AUACUGGAACAUGUCGGCUGGUUUGUGGGUCGUUCAGCAGGUUGGAUCAUAAUUUGGUGAACCUUCAGAAACUCAGCUGCAUUGUGAACAGUAACUCAGCCUGGUGGUGGCAGCAGCAUGAUGUGGGACUGUUGUCAUCGUUUCACCCUCGCAGUCGCCUGACCAUUUCUGACCAUUUAUGACCAUUUCUGACCAUUUCUGACCAUUUCUGACCAUCUUCAUCCCAGUAUGACCACAGUGGAUUCAUCUGGAGGAUAUUUCACACUAAGUCAUCUGAUGUCAAACUGGUUCCUAAACUGGGAGGAUCACCAGUUCACUGGAUCUUAGACCAUCAGAGCCGCUGAAACCUCAUCCUCAUCACCAUAAUCAGUCUCAGUGGUUUCUGGUUCUCUGCAGCACCGACUCAAUAACUUUAACUGGUUUCUCAGUCAGAAAUCUCCUCACUGGCUGAACCUCACCUUCAGCAACAACCAGUUUCUCUCUGGCUCCUCCCACCACUGCUGAGCUCAGCCAAUGAGAAGGCUUGUCUCUGCAGGGUUAAAAGCAGCUUGAUGAUGAUGAUGAAGGUCUGUUAGUCUUCCUUCUGCUGCAGUGGAUCAUCUCUGUAGAUCUGCUGUCUGACCUGAACUCCUGGAACAUGUUGCUUUACCUCCUGCUCUUCUCUCUCUACAUCGCUCUGGGCUCCAUGAACACCGUCACACAGGAGCAGAGGGAACACGUCGCUUCAGAGGGAAGCCCCACCAGUUUGAGCUGCGGAUAUACUGGUUCUAUCUAUAAUGUCCAGUGGUACCGACAGCAGCAGAGAUCCAGACCAGAGUUCCUGCUCUACGUUUCAGAGUCGGGAUCCAUCCAUCCAACUCGCUCCGAUUUCUCAGCUCACAUCAAUAAAACUCAGAAACGAGGAACUCUGCUGAUCUCCUCUGCUGCAGUGACAGACUCUGCUGUGUACUACUGCGCCGUGACGCCCACAGUGACAGGAAACACCAGAACCCUGGACAAGAACCUGCAGUACUCCACAGCAGCCACUAGAGGGCCUCAGACUGCAUGAACCCGAGGUUUCUCUGUAGAAACUCACUGAACCUCAUGACAAAGCUGCUCCUGCUCCAGUUUGUCCAGCAGAUCUAAGUGAAUGGGAGGAACCGUUGUAAGCUGCAGGCUGAUGAGCGUC